GGGUUUGUGAGGAAGAUUUAGUUUAAAGCAGUUAUAAGAUAAAUAAGUGUUUUCAUUUAUUGAGAGUUAAAAGGUGAAAUUUGGUGAUUAGGAGUAUGGAUUUAAAUACAAUUUAAUUUAGAAGCUGUUAAAAUUGAAAGAUAAACCAGGAUUAGAUACCCUGUUAUAUUCAUAUUGGGAAAUAAGAUACUUGAGUAGUAAACAGUUAUGAUCUUGAAACUUAAAGGAAUUGGCGGUAUUUAAGUCCAGUUAGAGGAACUUGUGCCAUAAACGAUAAACCACGAAUAUCUUUCUCUGACUUGUAAUUUCAGUUUGUAUACCGUCAUGGAUUGAUAAUUUAAGAAGAAAUUUAUCAUAAUAAAAGUUAGUUUUAAAAUGUUAGAUCAAGGUGCAGCUAAUGUCAGAGUGGUCAUGGGUUACAAUAUAAUAGGAGUAUAUGGAGACCUACUUUAAAAUAAGACGUUGAAGGUGGAUUUAAUGGUAAAGUAUGUAUAUUAAACAUGCUUGAUUAUGGCUCUUAAGUAUGUACACAUCGCCCGUCGUUCUCAUUUC
rnacentral:rRNA from 1 species